AGCCACUACACCCAGCCAAAACACCUAUUGUAUACAGGCCUGGGCUAAAGGCUGAGAUGGCCCCGCAAAUAAGGAUCAUCAGGGCCUCCUCAUGAGGGUCUGGCCGCUUCAUGAACACUUUCCCGCCAUCCUUCCUGUGGGCAUUGGAGUACUGUGGUGGGUUGACACUGAGUCUCCCUUUCCCAUCACAUAGUUUGACAGUAGGAAACUUCCUCCUCCUCCACCACCCCCUAUCAUUAUAAAUGAGAAUCCAGGGAGAAGCAGAGACUGGCCUGAAGUCCUACAGCACAACCUAGACAACAGCAGGGCCUCAUCUGGACUCAUCAGUAUAAAGAAACUCCCUCCCUAACAGGAGCUGGGCAGGGCGCUUCAACCCAGAUCAGCCAAGAGCAUCUCUAGCUGUGAAGAGACCCUCAUCCUUUGUCCAGCCUCCAGCAGACAUCCAGAUGGGACACACCACCCCAUGACCCUGGCUGUGAGAAGCUCUCAGGUCACCCUGUACAAGUGUGUGACUUGGGUGUACAUGCUGUGCCUGCUGUCUGCAAAUGACCCACCCCACACCAUCCCUACCG